rnacentral:rRNA from 1 species
GACGAACGCUGGCGGCGUGCUUAACACAUGCAAGUCGAACGGAAGGCCCUGCUUUUGUGGGGUGCUCGAGUGGCGAACGGGUGAGUAACACGUGAGUAACCUGCCCUUGACUUUGGGAUAACUUCAGGAAACUGGGGCUAAUACCGGAUAGGAGCUCCUGCUGCAUGGUGGGGGUUGGAAAGUUUCGGCGGUUGGGGAUGGACUCGCGGCUUAUCAGCUUGUUGGUGGGGUAGUGGCUUACCAAGGCUUUGACGGGUAGCCGGCCUGAGAGGGCGACCGGCCACAUUGGGACUGAGAUACGGCCCAGACUCCUACGGGAGGCAGCGGUGGGGAAUAUUGCACAAUGGGCGGAAGCCUGAUGCAGCAACGCCGCGUGCGGGAUGACGGCCUUCGGGUUGUAAACCGCUUUCGCCUGUGACGAAGCGUGAGUGACGGUAAUGGGUAAAGAAGCACCGGCUAACUACGUG